rfam:Emmonsia crescens TAMH 3008 supercont1.1473, whole genome shotgun sequence.
GGUCUAAGUCCCCUGGAACGGGGCGUUGCAGAGGGUGAGAAUCCCGUCUUCAGCUGGCCGGCUUCGCUCAUGUGAAGCUCCUUCAAUGAGUUGAGUUGUUUGGGAAUGCAGCUCUAAAUGAGUGAUAAAUUUCAUCUAAAGCUAAAUACUGGUUGGAGACUGAUAGCGCACAAGUAGAGUGAUCAAAAGAUGAAAAGCACUUUGAAAAGAGAGUUAAACAGCAUGUGAAAUUGUUGAAAGGGAAGCGCUUGCGACCAGAGUCGGCCGCGGGGGUUCAGCGGGCAUUCGUUGCCCGUGCACUCCCCCGUGGCCGGGCCAGCGUCGGUUUCGACGGCCGGGCAAAGGCCCAGCACUUUGAAAAGAGAGUUAAACAGCAUGUGAAAUUGUUGAAAGGGAAGCACUUGUGACCAGAGUCAGCCGCAUGGGUUCAGUGAGCAUUCAUUGCCCAUGCACUCCCCCAUGGCUGGGCCAGUGUCAGUUUCAACAGCCAGUCAAAGGCCCCCGGAAUGUGUCACCCUUUGGGGUGUCUUAUAGCCGGGGGUGCAAUGCAGUCAGUCAGAACUGAGGAAUGUACUUCAGCACGGACGCUGGCUUAAUGAUUGUAAGCAACUCAUCUUGAAACACAGAUCAAGAAGUCUAACAUUCACGCAAGUGUUCAGAUGUCAAACCCAUUCACACAGUGAAAGUGAAUGAAGGUGAGAACUCUUAAGAGUGCACCAUUGACUGAUUCAGAAGUCUUUGAAUGAAUUUGAGUAAGAGCAUGGUGUCGGACCCUCUGGUCACGUGACCUAGUUUUCCACCAUAUAGCCGUCUCGUAGCUAGCUCUCUUUAUUCAAUCAAGCUUGCCACCUUCUGUCACAUGGCUGUUGAGACCUGAAAGAUGGUGAACUAUGCCUGAAUAGAGUGAAGUCAGAGAAAACUCUGGUGAAGACUCACAGCAGUUCUGAUGUGCAAAUUGAUUGUCAAAUUUGAGUAUAGAAGUGAAAGACUAAUUGAAUCAUCUGGUAGCUGGUUUCUGCUGAAGUUUCUCUCAGAAUAGCAGUAACAUUUUCAGUUUUAUGAGAUAAAGUGAAUGAUUAGAGGCCUUGGGGUUGAAACAAUCUUAACCUAUUCUCAAACUUUAAAUAUGUAAGAAGCUCUUGUUACUUAAUUGAAUGUGAGCACUGGAAUGAAUUGUUACUAGUGAGCCAUUUUUGGUAAGCAGAACUGGCAAUGCGGGAUGAACUGAAUGUGAGAUUAAGAUGCUGGAAUGCAUGCUCAUCAGACAUCACAAAAGGUGUUAGUUCAUCUAGACAGUCUGACAGUGGUCAUGAAAGUCGGAAUCUGCUAAGAAGUGUGUAACAACUCAUGAGCUGAAUGAACUAGCCCUGAAAAUGAAUGAUGCUCAAGCGUGCUAUCCAUACCUCACUGUCAGGGUAGAAUUGAUGCUCUGACAAGUAGACAGGUGUGAAGGUCCGUGACAAAGUCUAGAGAGUGAUCCUGGGUUGAAUGACCUCUAGUGCAGAUCUUGAUGGUAGUAGCAAAUACUCAAAUGAGAACUUUGAGAACUGAAGUGAGGAAAGGUUUCAUGUGAACAGCAGUUGAACAUGAGUUAGUCAAUUCUAAGUGUCGGAAUUGAACGUAAGGUAUAUGUCAUAGAAUUACGCUUAUAUUAUGCCUGCCAUCGCAUCCUUGCUAGUUAUAUACAAAAUAAAGAGGCUUUUAUAAUAAAAGAAUGUGCGAGCCAAGAAGCUAGCAAUUAGCGAGAAUAAAAGAAUGAAUGUAGUUGGACAAGGGAAAUAGUGGAGGUGCUAGAUAAUACGCAACGUAGCGAAUACGCUGCGUACGAUAUAUGAUAUCUCUUUUUCCCAACACUAAGACAUAGGGAAAUUUCAUUUUAAAGCGCGCUCUCGUGCGCCGUUCAUUGAAAGGGAAGCCAGUUAAUAUUCCAGCACCUGAAUGUGAAUUCUCCAUGGCAAUGUAACUGAACGCGGAGACAUCAGUGAGGGUCCUGAGAAGAGUUAUCUUUUCUUCUUGAUGAUCUAUCACUCUGAAAUUGGUUUGUCUGGAGCUAGGGUUCAAUGGCUGGCAGAGCCCCGCACCUUUGCGGGGUCUGGUGUGCCCCUGACAACCCUUGAAAAUCCGCGGGAAGGAAUAGUUUUCAUGCCAGAUCAUACUCAUAACCACAGCAGGUCUUCAAGGUGAAAAGCCUCUAGUUGAUAGAACAAUGUAGAUAAGAGAAGUCAGCAAAAUAGAUCUGUAACUUCAGAAAAAGGAUUGACUCUAAGAGUUGAGCAUGUUGAGCCUUGGGCGGAGACCUCUGAAGCAGGGAGGCACUAGCCAGGCAAUCAGUGAGGGCCCUCCAGCAUUGAGAUGUGAAUGCCCUUGGCAGGCUUCAGCCGUCCGGCGUGCAAUUAACAAUCAACUUAGAACUGAUAUGAACAAGAGGAAUCUGACUGUCUAAUUAAAACAUAGCAUUGCAAUGGUCAGAAAGUGGUGUUGACACAAUGUGAUUUCUGCUCAGUGCUCUGAAUGUCAAAGUGAAGAAAUUCAACCAAGCGCGAGUAAACAGUGAAAGUAACUAUGACUCUCUUAAGAUAGUCAAAUGCCUUGUCAUCUAAUUAGUGACGCGCAUGAAUGAAUUAACAAGAUUCUCACUGUUUCUAUCUACUAUCUAGUGAAAUCACAGUCAAGGGAAUGGCUUGGCAGAAUCAGCGGGGAAAGAAGACUCUGUUGAGCUUGACUCUAGUUUGACAUUGUGAAAAGACAUAUUGAGUGUAGAAUAGAUGGGAGCUUCAGUGCUGAUGAAAUAUCACUACCUUUAUUGUUUUUUUACUUAUUCAAUGAAGUGAAACUGAGCUUUACUGCUCAACUUCUGGCAUUAAGGUCCUGUAAGAAAUUCAUGCCUUGGCAUUCCUUACCCCUAUCGCGGAGCACUAGGCUCCGCCCCCCUAACCCCUAUUCCUAUGCCAAGUCCUCGCGUAGCUAUUAGAGCUAGCGGGCCUUCGCGCACAGAAUCUAUAUAGACUGGAGUUGCUCUCAUACUUUAGCAACUCAGCUUGAAUACUAUUACAUUUGCUACCCCUAUAUUUCCAAUCCUCGCGAACUACUUCUUAGACCUAAUACAUAUCACGCCAAGCUGCGAACCCCUAGAAUAGAGCCCGCAAAGCCCUUAUUCUUACAAAUACAGAAGCUACUCAGAACAGACACACACUGCUCAGCAAACUGCAGAUUCUGACAGA